rnacentral:piRNA from 1 species
UGAACACAGAUGUAAGUGCACAUGGUAAGA